AAGGCUGGGAGGCGCUGGGCUGAAAAAGGUUGAGAAACACUGGCUUAGGAGAUCAAGAAUCGAACAGUUUGGAGGAAGAGCGGAGACAGACACAAUCCAAGAUGCUUUGGGUACAUCGCAAAAUUUCCACAUUGGUGAAUAUUUAGGGAGCCACGUGACAUGCAAUGCAAUCACGUACCACAAACUUUUAGAAGGAAUGCCUCUCUGCAGACAAGCUUUAUGGAUAUCGAUUUCAUUUUCCAGCAGGACUUCACAUCUGCCAAAGACCAUGCGCUCAAUUGGCCAGUUUUUCUUUUCUUACCUGAAUCCCACAGUGAAUCUGUCAAGUAUUGUCAAGAAGAGAAACACUUGACCAAACAAUCCAAAUAAGCUGAAGGUUAGAAGCUGGACUUACUUAUGACCUCAGCAAUGCCACAGGCUGAGUCCAUGCCACACUUGACUGAUCGAGCAAUUUAUGCAAACAGUACCCAGACUAAGUACUAUGCAUAAACCUUACUGUAUGUAGAUAUACUUUUUGGUGGGCAGACAUCUAUGCAUCAAAAAUUAGUUUUUACUGACUUUUGUCCCAUUCAAGUUAUUAGAAAACGAAUAUUUUAUUAACUACAAGUUCUAAUCAUCAAAAGGUUAUUACUAAAUAACCACCAGAAAUAUAGCACAAAUUAAUCUGUAUAGAGUUUAAAACAAACAUUUUGAUGACUAACCUUACUGGGAGGUAUAAUUGAGCUACUUAUAGACUGUGUACUUAACUGACUCAUGCCAUCCAAACAAAACAAAGCCAUUUCAUAACCUGCUCAUUCCUUUGUGUGUAUUCAGGACCAGUACAUAUUUAUUCAUCACUGUCUGCUACACUGGCUGAGCGGAGGAGCAUCAGCAAGCAGGCAACAGAUGCAAGUCCCGGAUUUGAGUUCUAACCAACACAAAAACGAUCAACCUCAGAGCUCACGGAGGAGGAGGCGACACAGCUCUCAACAGAAACCUCCAGCAGCCCAACCCCAGAACACACUGCAGCAGAUUUUUAAACCUGGGAACCUACUGAGGAGGUUAAUACCCUCCUUAUCACAGAUGAAUCCAAACUCACAAAACGCCUGAAGAUAUCUUCUGAAAAAAGGCAUGGAA